CCUACGGGGGGCAGCAGUGGGGAAUAUUGGACAAUGGGCGAAAGCCUGAUCCAGCCAUGCCGCGUGUGUGAAGAAGGCCUUCGGGUUGUAAAGCACUUUCAGUGGGGAAGAAAGCCUUGGGGCUAAUACCCUCGAGGAAGGACAUCACCCACAGAAGAAGCACCGGCUAACUCCGUGCCAGCAGCCGCGGUAAUACGGAGGGUGCGAGCGUUAAUCGGAAUUACUGGGCGUAAAGCGCGCGUAGGCGGUCUGAUAAGCCGGUUGUGAAAGCCCCGGGCUCAACCUGGGAACGGCAUCCGGAACUGUCAGGCUAGAGUGCAGGAGAGGAAGGUAGAAUUCCCGGUGUAGCGGUGAAAUGCGUAGAGAUCGGGAGGAAUACCAGUGGCGAAGGCGGCCUUCUGGACUGACACUGACGCUGAGGUGCGAAAGCGUGGGUAGCAAACAGGAUUAGAUACCCCAUAGUC
rnacentral:rRNA from 1 species